UCUAUUCGUCACCAAAUUCCCCUGCGGAUUCUGGUUUUCCCGUCCUGCCUUUCUACGAACACUUGGGAAUUUAAUCAGCAAUUACAGUAAGCUUGGAAAAAGCAGUAAAGCUGAAGCAAUGGCUAUCCAAUAUGCUAUAAGGCAACUUUUGUUAAAUAAAUCUGGCAAAACCCAACGGCUACGCUCAAAUCACGACCAAAUGUUUGGCCUUUUGCCUGUGAGAAGGAGCUUGUACCAAGAAUCAUCAUUUGGGUGGUUUCAAAACAGACCAAUGACAUCCAGUAGACGAGUCCAAGACCGAAGCAAGAACAAAAGAAUUCACCAUCUCGAAAUCGUGAAGGAGAAAUGGAAAAUAUCUUCCAAGGUUUUGUUUUUGAUGGAAGUUCUAAAGAAAGAACCCGAGAUGAUAAUCCCCGUUAGGUCGUUGGACCAAUACAGGAAGCAAAUUAAUUUGCCAAAACCCCACAAAAUUAGUGAUUUCAUUAGGAAAUGUCCCAAGUUGUUCGAAUUAUACAAGGAUCAAAGGGGAACCUUGUGGUGUGGAAUGACUAAAGAAGCUGAGGAUUUAUUGGAAGAAGAGGAAAGGCUGAUUGAGGAACAAUCAACCAAAGCUGUUGAGUUUGUUACUAAGAUUUUAAUGAUGUCGGUUGAUAAAAGGAUUCAGUUGGAUAAGAUUGCUCAUUUUAGGAGAGAUUUUGGUUUGCCAAUUGAGUUUAGAACCAAGUGGGUGAAUCAGUAUCCUCAACAUUUUAGGGUGGUAAAAUCUAAGGAUGGAGUUGAGUUUUUGGAGCUUGUAAAUUGGAAUCCUGCUUGGGCUAUUACAGAGUUGGAGAAGAAAGCAUUGGGUUUAAAUGAUGGGAUUGGUCGUGAACCAGGUUUACUUUCUUUGCCUUUUCCUUUGAAGUUCCCUCCUAAUUACAAGAAGGUGUAUAGACACGGAGGGAAGAUUGCGCAUUUUCAGAAAAGGUCUUAUUUGUCUCCGUAUGCAGAUGCUAGGGAGCUGAAGGCAGGGUCAUUGGAAUUUGAUAAGAGGGCAGUUGCUGUUAUGCACGAGUUACUCAGCUUUACUAUUGAGAAGAGAUUGGUGACUGAUCAUCUCACUCAUUUCCGACGGGAGCUUGUGAUGCCACAGAAGUUGAUGAGACUUCUUUUGAAGCAUUUUGGCAUCUUUUAUGUUUCUGAGAGGGGGAAGAGAUUUAGUGUCUUCUUGACUGAAGCUUAUGAAGGUUCAGAGCCGAUUGAGAAAUGUCCAUUGGUGCUUUGGAAGGAAAAGGUCCUGAGCCUUGUUGGUUAUAGAGGAAAGAAGAAAGAGAUUCCUACUUUCAGCGACUUAUCAGACAUGGAUGAGAAGGAUUUAAUUGAGGUUGAUACUGAGAAUGACAACAUAUGUGCAGAAUUUGAGGAAGAGGAGACCAUGGGUGGUUUAGAGGCUGUUUCACUAACAAGCAAUAAUGAGUUGGAGAUUGCUCAUGUUUGCAGUGCAUACAAAGACACUGAUAAAACUUGAGAUUGUAUGUUCAGCAACCAGAUGGCUUUUUUUGUUGAAUUAUCAGCAACCAGAUGGUUUUAAUUAGCUUCUUCAUUUCCAUGAUGGCAAUUACACUUGACUAGGUCUUCAAAAGAGAAGAUGUCAAGUGGCAAGUAAUUGUACAAGUUGGUUAGGUGUAAAUUUUACCAAACAUGUUGCAAUAUUUCAGACAUAACUUGAAGUACAGAAGUCCAAUCAGUAUGGUUUUUGGACCAUUAGAAAGCUAAGAAGAAAGGUUACAACUUUGGUGUUCAGGGCUUCUCCCAAUUUGAAAAAGAUCGUGGUAAAAAAUACAAAGAAAGUCAAUUGACUGCAACAGACUGCAUAGCCCAAAUCAGAGAGCUUCUCGCUGUGGCGAAAAAAAUGAAGAAAUCAGCCCCUAAAUUAGAGAAUUUCUUGCUGUAGUAAGAACACAUCAUUUAAUGAAUAUUCCUGUACGAGUUUUUAUGCUAUGACUAAAAGUAAGGACAAAAAUUCAUGUUUUUU